UUUUAGUUAUCUUCAUCCUUGUAUGUGAGAGAAAGAUGAAACAGAAGGAAACUCUUGCUGAAGGAGAAAAAAUUCCAGAGAAACUGACCAUAGACGAGUUGCCCGAUGUCACUGAAAAUGGAGCUCGGCUCAGAAAGGUUGAAUCUACUUCAGUGCAAG